rnacentral:rRNA from 1 species
CAGUGGGGGAUAACGUAGCGAAAGUUACGCUAAUACCGCAUAUUCUGUGAGCAGGAAAGCAGGGGAUCGCAAGACCUUGCGCUGAUUGAGCGGCCGAUAUCAGAUUAGCUAGUUGGUGAGGUAAAGGCUCACCAAGGCGACGAUCUGUAGCGGGUCUGAGAGGAUGAUCCGCCACACUGGAACUGAGACACGGUCCAGACUCCUACGGGAGGCAGCAGUGGGGAAUUUUGGACAAUGGGGGCAACCCUGAUCCAGCCAUGCCGCGUGAGUGAAGAAGGCCUUCGGGUUGUAAAGCUCUUUCGGCCGGGAAGAAAUCGUAUGGGUUAAUACCCUGUGCGGAUGACGGUACCGGCAUAAGAAGCACCGGCUAACUACGUGCCAGCAGCCGCGGUAAUACGUAGGGUGCGAGCGUUAAUCGGAAUUACUGGGCGUAAAGCGUGCGCAGGCGGUUUUGUAAGACAGGCGUGAAAUCCCCGGGCUCAACCUGGGAACUGCGCUUGUGACUGCAAGGCUAGAGUAUGGCAGAGGGGGGUGGAAUUCCACGUGUAGCAGUGAAAUGCGUAGAGAUGUGGAGGAACACCAAUGGCGAAGGCAGCCCCCUGGGCCAAUACUGACGCUCAUGCACGAAAGCGUGGGUAGCAAACAGGAUUAGAUACCCUGGUAGUCCACGCCCUAAACGAUGUCAACUAGGUGUUGGGUGGGUAAAACCAUUUAGUACCGGAGCUAACGCGUGAAGUUGACCGCCUGGGGAGUACGGCCGCAAGGUUAAAACUCAAAGGAAUUGACGGGGACCCGCACAAGCGGGGAUGAUGUGGAUUAAUUCGAUGCAACGCGAAAAACCUUACCUACCCUUGACAUGUCCAGGAGCCUGAAGAGAUUUGGGUGUGCCCGAAAGGGAACUGGAACACAGGUGCUGCAUGGCUGUCGUCAGCUCGUGUCGUGAGAUGUUGGGUUAAGUCCCGCAACGAGCGCAACCCUUGUCGUUAAUUGCCAUCAUUUAGUUGGGCACUUUAACGAGACUGCCGGUGACAAACCGGAGGAAGGUGGGGAUGACGUCAAGUCCUCAUGGCCCUUAUGGGUAGGGCUUCACACGUCAUACAAUGGUCGGUACAAAGGGUUGCCAACCCGCGAGGGGGAGCCAAUCCCAGAAAGCCGAUCGUAGUCCGGAUCGCAGGCUGCAACUCGCCUGCGUGAAGUCGGAAUCGCUAGUAAUCGUGGAUCAGCAUGUCACGGUGAAUACGUUCCCGGGUCUUGUACACACCGCCCGUCACACCAUGGGAGCGGGUUCCGCCAGAAGUAGGUAGCCUAACCGCAAGGGGGGCGCUUACCACGGCGGGGUUCGUGACUGGGGUGAAGUCGUAACAAGGUA